CUAAUACAUGCAAGUCGAGCGAGCGGAACCAACAGAUUUACUUCGGUAAUGACGUUGGGAAAGCGAGCGGCGGAUGGGUGAGUAACACGUGGGGAACCUGCCCCUAAGUCUGGGAUACCAUUUGGAAACAGGUGCUAAUACCGGAUAAUAAAGCAGAUCGCAUGAUCAGCUUUUGAAAGGCGGCGUAAGCUGUCGCUAAGGGAUGGCCCCGCGGUGCAUUAGCUAGUUGGUAAGGUAACGGCUUACCAAGGCGACGAUGCAUAGCCGAGUUGAGAGACUGAUCGGCCACAUUGGGACUGAGACACGGCCCAAACUCCUACGGGAGGCAGCAGUAGGGAAUCUUCCACAAUGGACGCAAGUCUGAUGGAGCAACGCCGCGUGAGUGAAGAAGGUUUUCGGAUCGUAAAGCUCUGUUGUUGGUGAAGAAGGAUAGAGGUAGUAACUGGCCUUUAUUUGACGGUAAUCAACCAGAAAGUCACGGCUAACUACGUGCCAGCAGCCGCGGUAAUACGUAGGUGGCAAGCGUUGUCCGGAUUUAUUGGGCGUAAAGCGAGCGCAGGCGGAAAAAUAAGUCUAAUGUGAAAGCCCUCGGCUUAACCGAGGAACUGCAUCGGAAACUGUUUUUCUUGAG
rnacentral:rRNA from 1 species